rnacentral:rRNA from 1 species
GUGUCAGCCGCCGCGGUAAUACGGAGGAGGCAAGCGUUAUCCGGAAUUAUUGGGCGUAAAGCGUCCGCAGGCGGCUUAUCAAGUCUGCUGUCAAAGACUGGGGCUCAACCCUGGGAAGGCAGUGGAAACUGAGAAGCUAGAGUGCAGUAGGGGUAGAGGGAAUUCCCAGUGUAGCGGUGAAAUGCGUAGAGAUUGGGAAGAACACCGGUGGCGAAAGCGCUCUACUGGGCUGCAACUGACGCUGAGGGACGAAAGCUAGGGGAGCGAAAGGGAUUAGAUACCCCUGUAGUCCUAGCCGUAAACGAUGGGUACUAGGCGUAGCUUGUAUCGACCCGAGCUGUGCCGAAGUUAACACGUUAAGUACCCCGCCUGGGGAGUACGCACGCAAGUGUGAAACUCAAAGGAAUUGACGGGG